UAGGGAAUCUUCGGCAAUGGGGGGAACCCUGACCGAGCAACGCCGCGUGAGUGAAGAAGGUUUUCGGUUCGUAAAGCUCUGUUGUUAAGGAAGAACGAGUGUGAGAAUGGAAAGUUCAUCCUGUGACGGUACUUAACCAGAAAGGGACGGCUAACUACGUGCCAGCAGCCGCGGUCAUACGUAGGUCCCGAGCGUUGUCCGGAUUUAUUGGGCGUAAAGCGAGCGCAGGCGGUUAGGUAAGUCUGAAGUGAAAGGCAGUGGCUCAACCAUUGUAGGCUUUGGAAACUGUUUAACUUGAGUGCAGAAGGGGAGGGUGGAAUUCCAUGUGUAUCGGUGAAAUGCGUAGAUAUAUGGAGGAACACCGGUGGCGAAAGCGGCUCUCUGGUCUGUAACUGACGCUGAGGCUCGAAAGCGUGGGGAGCGAACAGG
rnacentral:rRNA from 1 species